rnacentral:rRNA from 1 species
AUGGUGAUAACCACCGCGACCAUGAAGAACGGAAGGGCUACUCCAUCUGGACUGCCAUGGAUGGGGAUGGCGGCACCAGUCUCCGCCGCACGUGCCCCUCUUGCACCGGAGUACUACGUCGAUGUGGUCAGGUUCUACCUCAAGGCGGCCUAUCGCCUCCCCAUCACCGACAUCCCCUAUCUCGCCGAUUGCAUCUCUUAUUUAAGCUUCGCCGAUCCCAUCACCAACAUCUUCAUCGCCACCAUAGGAGCGUUCACGGGGACAACAACCGCGUGUAGUGCAAUGCCAAUGAUGCACUAG